CCUCCCCCUCCUAAUGUUGGCAUUUCUUUAAGGGUUAAGCAUCUUUCCUUAGGCUAGAAACUGAUCGCUGCGCUCACCUGUGACCGCCCAGCUCAAGACAAUAGACUUGCCUCCUGCUACGCCCUCCAAGAUAGAAGACCACUACCUGCUGUGUCCAUCAAGCCCUGUGCCAACAGGGCAAUCUUGUGACUAUUGUGGGAGGGACAUUUCAAUCAUAUGUGAAACACCCUGUUUGAGGGUAUAUAACCACUCAAACCACUCCUUCGGGCCAUGGUUCCUCAUAAAGCUUUUUUAAAUUUUCUCCUGCUAUUCUGUCUCAGGUGAAUUUAAUUCGUUCUCCAGCCAGACGAACCCACUUUGGAUAGAGGAAAUGUCUUCCUCCCCUACACUUCCAAGAAGCAUUUCUUGUCCCCUUUCCCAACCUACUUCUGAUGCUGGCUCGGAAGAUUAGCCCUGAGCUAACAACUGCC
rnacentral:lncRNA from 1 species